CUUGUAUUUGAAUGGUAGAUAAGGAGUCGGACCUGCCCGGUGAGGAAUUUCCUUUAACGGCCGCGGUACUCUGACCGUGCAAAGGUAGCAUAAUCAUUUGCCUUAUAAUUGAAGGCUGGUAUGAAUGGUUUGACAAGAAUAUAACUGUCUCUUUGCUGAUUUAAUAGAAUUUUAUCUUUGGGUGAAAAAGCCCAAAUUGUAUUAAAAGACAAGAAGACCCUAUCGAGCUUUAAAGGAUUAAGUGGAUUAAAAAGUCUAUAUGUGUUUAUAAAGGGCGAAGCCAUUUUAUAUUUUGGUUGGGGCGACUGAGGAACAUGUAAAGCUUCCUUCAUAGUUUUUAAACUUGCAGGUUUUGAUCCAAGAUUGUUGAUUAAGGGAAUUAGUUACCGUAGGGAUAACAGCAUUAUCUUUCUUGAGAGUUCAUAUCGAAAGAAGGGUUUGUGACCUCGAUGUUGGACCAGAAUGUCCUGAAGAUGCAGAAGUCUUCAAGGGUUGGUCUGUUCGACCAUUAAAAUUCUA
rnacentral:rRNA from 1 species